AGCACAUAUUCAUCUGUGAAGGCAGAUUCGCCCACCAUCACCACCACAACCAAGACUACUGUGACAGAGUAUCCAAAGACAAGCACCAAAACAACCACAGUCACCAAGGAUGGAUCAACCACUGAGACCACUAUUACCACCACCCAAAGCGUCAAGU